UUUAACGUGUCUCCGAAACCACUAAUAGCAAUUUACCCAACGUGCAUAUCCAGGUAGUACGUAAUUAAGCUCUACCUCUUCCCAUGCCCCUUGGAGCCACCUCACCGCCCCUCGCAACCCCUAUACGAGACACGAGCAGGUUUUGCGGUUACGUGAAGCGCGCGCGCGACACGGUAAGGAAGGGGGAGAGGGAGAGAGCAUUAGCGGCAUCAUGGACCAUGCUCUCUCCCCGGAAUGCCGUAGCGAGUCGUUAUAACGCUCUUCCUUCCUCGGAGGAACCACAAUGCUUCCUGCGAAUUUCCAAAUCCAUCUGGAUUACAGCCUCGAGCAACGCUUCAUGGUGGAAUUAACAUGAGCUUUCAGUUUUCAAAGAACGUAGCGACAAGGGAUUUUGAAUAUUUUGAUAUACCUACAUUGGAAUACUGCAAAAGAAUAUUCUCGAUGGAGUCCGUGAUGAAUUCUUGUUCGUGAUAAAAACACACGUGACAGGAAGUAACUUUAUCGCUUCAGGAAAUGCAAUUUCGGGGAAAUACCGCUGCUCGUGGUGACAUUCGGUAAACUAACAACAUUGCAAUCGGUUCUUUCUCGUUGGACGUUUCUCUAUUAGUUUGUUUGAAAGUCUUUUCUUACAAAAACCCACUGGGAGACAUUUUGUCCCGCAAAACGUGUUAUGUCUGGAAACGUCAAACUUUACUCGAAAUUUAGAAACUUUUUCUCUACGCUAAGGAAUAAGGAUCAUCGAUAUAUCAAAGGCUUGACGGCUUCUAAGCAAAAUGUUAAAAAUUAGUCAUAAUUUAUUCAAAAUAAAAGAAUUAUAGGAAAUAUAAAACUCUUAA